UGUAGCAAUGUAGCUAUAGGAAAAAAGGAAUUCUCCCAAAAUAAUUUAAUUGUAAAGUGUUCUGAAAAAUAAUUAUAUUAGUCAGUACAAUUGUGCUCUUAUCCCACUAACGUUAUACAUAUGAAUUUUGCCUCAAAAUGCAAAGUUACAUUCACCAAUAUCUAGCAAAGUGUUGAUGGUCCCUAACUUUGAUGUUGCUAGCCCGGUAGCAACACAUUCACUACCUAGUUAGUCGUGCAAGCUUUGAAAGAGGCGAAAGUCAAUUGAUCUUGCACUCAACCACAACAGCAACAUGACGACCAAGCACGAAUUCUUUGUGGACAUGACAUGUGAGGGAUGCUCUGGGGCAGUCACCCGAGUCCUCAAUAAACUGGGUGGUGUUCAAUUUGAGAUCGACCUCCCCAACAAGAAGGUUUUCAUUGAGUCUGACAAGGACACGGACGUGCUUCUGGAAACACUUAAGAAGACUGGAAAGGCAGCUAACUACAUCGGCCCCAAGUGAUGAAUCAUCCUCUUUUCUUUAUAGAACAGCUGUUGGUUGGUGCUGAUAUGAAGGAUGAUCAUGAGAAGAAAGAACCCUUGCUGGCAUGUCUUCAUGGACCACUGGAAUGAGCUUGCACUGCCAAGCUGUCCACUUUCACUUAUUUAAGCACUAUUAUUGUUGUGUCCCAAAUGGCACUGUAAAGGCCCAGGUCCAAAGUAGGGCACUAUAUACGGAAUAGAGUACCCUUUUGGGACGCAUCCACUAUGAACAUCCAGUGUGAUUGAUGCGCAGAAUUAAAUAUAUCAUGUAUCUAUAUGGGUUCACUUUACUGCAGGGAAAUGAAAUGAUGUAAGAUCGCUGUCUCUGCUUUGUCUUAAUGAAAGCACCUAUUGUAAUUCACGUUGAUUUGUGGGGGCAACCAUCCUGUAUUACGGUUUCCAUUCACUGUCUGAAUAUUGUUCAUGUUUACCCACAUGUCAAAUAAAUAAGGUGGUUCUAGGCA